AUUGAACGCUGGCGGCGUGCUUAACACAUGCAAGUCGUGCGGUAACAGGCGUAGCAAUACGUGCUGACGAGCGGCGAACGGGUGCGUAAUACAUGGGAAUCUGCCUUUUAGUGGGGAAUAACCCGGCGAAAGCCGGGCUAAUGCCGCAUAAGAUCUUCGGAUGAAAGCGGGGGAGUCGUAAGACCUCGCGCUGAUAGAUGAGCCCACUGCCGGAUUAGCAGUUGGUGAGGUAACGGACUCACCAAGGCGACGAUCCGUAGCUGGUCUGAGAGGACGGCCAGCCACACUGGGACUGAGACACGGCCCAGACUCCUACGGGAGGCAGCAGUGGGGAAGUAUUGGACAAUGGGGAAACCGUGAUCCAGCGACGCCGCGUGUGUGAAGAAGGCCUGCGGGUUGUAAAGCUCUUUUGCCAGGGACGAUAAUGACGGUACCUGGAGAAUAAG
rnacentral:rRNA from 1 species